rnacentral:tRNA from 1 species
UCCGGUGUCGUCUAACGGCAGGACGUCGGGCUCUGGACCCGAAGGUUGGGGUUCGAAUCCUUGCACCGGAGCCA